UGGUGGGUAGUUUGACUGGGGCGGUCUCCUCCUAAAGAGUAACGGAGGAGCACGAAGGUUGGCUAAUCCUGGUCGGACAUCAGGAGGUUAGUGCAAUGGCAUAAGCCAGCUUGACUGCGAGCGUGACAGCGCGAGCAGGUGCGAAAGCAGGUCAUAGUGAUCCGGUGGUUCUGAAUGGAAGGGCCAUCGCUCAACGGAUAAAAGGUACUCCGGGGAUAACAGGCUGAUACCGCCCAAGAGUUCAUAUCGACGGCGGUGUUUGGCACCUCGAUGUCGGCUCAUCACAUCCUGGGGCUGAAGUAGGUCCCAAGGGUAUGGCUGUUCGCCAUUUAAAGUGGUACGCGAGCUGGGUUUAGAACGUCGUGAGACAGUUCGGUCCCUAUCUGCCGUGGGCGCUGGAGAAUUGAGGGGGGCUGCUCCUAGUACGAGAGGACCGGAGUGGACGCAUCACUGGUGUUCGGGUUGUCAUGCCAAUGGCACUGCCCGGUAGCUAAAUGCGGAAGAGAUAAGUGCUGAAAGCAUCUAAGCACGAAACUUGCCCCGAGAUGAGUUCUCCCUGACUCCUUGAGAGUCCUGAAGGAACGUUGAAGACGACGACGUUGAUAGGCCGGGUGUGUAAGCGCAGCGAUGCGUUGAGCUAACCGGUACUAAUGAACCGUGAGGCUUAACCUU
rnacentral:rRNA from 1 species